rnacentral:rRNA from 1 species
GCCAGACUCCUACGGGAGGCAGCAGUGAGGAAUAUUGGUCAAUGGGCGCGAGCCUGAACCAGCCAAGUCGCGUGAAGGAUGACUGCCCUACGGGUUGUAAACUUCUUUUAUAAAGGAAUAAAGUGAGGCACGUGUGCCUUUUUGUAUGUACUUUAUGAAUAAGGAUCGGCUAACUCCGUGCCAGCAGCCGCGGUAAUACGGAGGAUCCGAGCGUUAUCCGGAUUUAUUGGGUUUAAAGGGAGCGUAGAUGGGUUGUUAAGUCAGUUGUGAAAGUUUGCGGCUCAACCGUAAAAUUGCAAUUGAUACUGGCAGUCUUGAGUACAGUUGAGGUAGGCGGAAUUCGUGGUGUAGCGGUGAAAUGCUUAGAUAUCGAGAGGAACACUCGUGGCGAAGGCGGGUUCCUGGACAUUAACUGACGCUGAGGCACGAAGGCCAGGGGAGCGAAAGGGAUUAGAUACCCCAGUAGG